UACGUAGGGGGCAAGCGUUGUCCGGAUUUAUUGGGCGUAAAGAGCGUGUAGGCGGCCAUGUAGGUCCGUUGUGAAAACUCGAGGCUCAACCUCGAGACGCCGAUGGAAACCAUGUGGCUAGAGUCCGGAAGAGGAGAGUGGAAUUCCUGGUGUAGCGGUGAAAUGCGCAGAUAUCGAGGAAGAACACCCGUGGCUAAGGCGGCUCGCUGGACCGGUUCUGACGCUGACGGCGCGAAAGCGUCGGGAGCAACGGG
rnacentral:rRNA from 1 species